UAUAGUUUCUCUCUUCCAAAUGGAAUUAAUAUCUUCCUAAAUCUUUAUUUCAAUUUCCCUUCUCAUAAAUUGUGUGACCAAAUAUAUAUACCACUUUAUUACCUUGAUGUGAUUUUGUAUGUUAAUGAUAAGGAUCAAUGUUCUUCAUCUUAAUGAGGUAGCAUAAUUAUAUGCAUGGUUCGUGAGGUAAGAGAGCUUUCUUUAGUCCACUCAUGGGUGGCAAUAAGAUAUCAAUUAGCUGCUGACUCAUUCAUCCAAAUGUUGAGUGAAUAUAUAGAUACAAUAUACUCAUCAAAUGAGUGAAUGAUGCGGGAGACAAAUUGAAUCUUAAGUUUCCUAUACUUGGACUGAAGGGAGCUCCCUUUUCUUCCUUUCUAUCUAUCUCUCUCUCACUUUAUUAUUCUUAUCAUCUUAGAUAGCCUCAUGCUCUUUUCUUUUGGAUUAAAUUUAUUAUCAUGCAAAUUUUGGUUAAUUAAAUUAUGUAGAAUAUUAAUAAAUUAAUGCUCUUAUAGUCAUUUAUACUCUCUCCAAAAGUUGCUAAUCAAGAUUUUUUGAGCAUAUUAUCUCCAAAAAAAACAAAAGAUUUGAUUUGGUGCAUUUAUGUAAAAGGCACAUUGAAAGCGUAUGCGUACGAGAUGGUUUCAAUAUUAUUGGCAACAAGUUUCCUGCUGGCUAUGGAUGUGCAAGUUUGUUCCAUUAAUCUUCCACUUCUACCAAGAACUAGCAAUAUAUAUAUUCCAUGAAUCAUAUUUUCCUAUGUUGUAACAUUGUAAUAUUUUUCAAUGUUUUACUUGUGAGAGAUUAAACAAUGUUCGGUAAAAAAUUGUUUUACCCUUGUAAUGUUUUUGGUUCUUAGUUUGCAAGAUAUGAAGUUUAAGAUUUAGUA